rnacentral:rRNA from 1 species
CCUACGGGAGGCAGCAGUGGGGAAUAUUGCGCAAUGGGCGAAAGCCUGACGCAGCGACGCCGCGUGAGGGAUGAAGGUCUUCGGAUCGUAAACCUCUGUCAGCAGGGAAGAACGGUCACUGUGCUAAUCAGCAGUGAAUUGACGGUACCGGCAAAGGAAGCACCGGCUAACUCCGUGCCAGCAGCCGCGGUAAUACGGAGGGGGCGAGCGGUCAGCGGAAUUACGGGGCGGAAAGCGCUCGUAGGCGGUAUGUCAAGUCAAGGGUGAAAUCCCCGCGCUCAACGUGGGAUCUCCCUUUGAAACUGGCACACUGGCGUGUGUGAGCUGCUAGUGGACUUCCAGGUGUAGGAGUGAAAUCCGUAGAUAUCUGGAGGAACAUCAGUGGCGACGGCGACUCUCUGGCACAUACCUGCCGCUGAGGAGCGAAAGCGUGGGUAGCAAACAGGAUUAGAUACCCUGGUAGUC